UCCACGCCGUAAACGAUGUCAACUAACUGUUGGGUUCUUAAAGAACUUAGUGGUGGAGCUAACGUAUUAAGUUGACCGCCUGGGGAGUACGGCCGCAAGGCUAAAACUCAAAUGAAUUGACGGGGGCCCGCACAAGCGGUGGAGCAUGUGGUUUAAUUCGAUGCAACGCGAAGAACCUUACCUACCCUUGACAUCCAGAGAAUCUGUUAGAGAUAGUAGAGUGCCUUCGGGAA
rnacentral:rRNA from 1 species